GGUCGGGUGGCGCAAUGGUAGCGCGUUGUCUUCCGGUUGACUUGACUCCUCACUGGUUUUUCCCCCAUUAAGAAGUCAAAGAUUCUGAAACUGGCAAAGGCUCUGGGUUCGAAUCCCAGCUCGAUCG